UGAGAGUAUCUGUCUGGAGAUCUCUGUCUUCCUGAGGCCUUUUGAAGAGUUUUGCAAGAGGAACUACCUUUGAAGAAAGAAGGGAAAGUAUGUACUGUGCUUGGAAAGUGAGAGGUAUCUGGCUUCAAUAUUCUUUGUCUCCAUAUCUGAAAGCUUUUCACAAGAGAUGAGAAGUAAACCAACUUUCCACUGCACUCCACCAAUACAGCUAUUGCUGCAAGCAGCCCCACUUAUUUACAGUGCCUGUUGGUGGAACCUGGCACUAGAGUUUGCACUCAGAGCACCAACAAGAUCUCCCAUCUCUUCAAAAAGAACCACUUAAAACAGAAAACUAUGGGGUUUUUUUGUUUGUUUGUUUGGUUUUUUUUUAAAGAGCUCCUUGAAACAAGCCAAACUUGCAUCUGCACACUUCUUUUUACUGCUCCAUCCCCAGGGAGCAUUUGUACCUCAUUCUCCUCCCUUAGGACUCGAAAUCAAAAUAUUUCUUUUCUGUCAGGCAGCUCACACAGAGAAUUCUGUAAGCUGUAAGCACGGACGAGUAUAUAUUUAGCUUAUCCAAACUCAGUAAGAGACUAAGUGUAGGAGAUAGCUUAGGUAUGGGGCCACGUUGCACCUAGGAGACACCUGGGCUAUAAGCAGCAUCCACCAAGUACUUCUCUAUUUUGUGCCAUACCACAGAGGACAUACACUGUUCCAGUUUCUAUCCCCCCAGUAUAUAUUGAAAUAAAGUUGUCAAACCUCUUGUCCUCUGGAGGCUCCUGGAACAGCUCAGAGCAGAUUGGUCAACCACCACAGGCCUUCAGCUGCUGCCAGCUUCCAUUUGUUUUUCAGCAGCACCUGUGAGAGAAUACACAACUGAUGUGAGCACUCACUUCUUUAUUACUCUUCUCACCAAGUGAGAAGUGCUUCAGCCCUGCUUAACACCUCCUCAGAGCUCUUCCUGCUGCUAUUUCUUCAUCCUCAGGAUCUACUAUCUAUCUAGGUUAUAGAUAUAAUCUGAAACGCAGCUCAGCUCCCAG
rnacentral:lncRNA from 1 species